CCUACGGGAGGCAGCAGUAGGGAAUAUUGCUCAAUGGGGGAAACCCUGAAGCAGCAACGCCGCGUGGAGGAUGAAGGUUUUCGGAUUGUAAACUCCUUUUGUUAGAGAAGAUAAUGACGGUAUCUAACGAAUAAGCACCGGCUAACUCCGUGCCAGAAGCCGCGGUAAUACGGAGGGUGCAAGCGUUACUCGGAAUCACUGGGCGUAAAGAGCGCGUAGGCGGGAUAGCAAGUCAGAUGUGAAAUCCUAUGGCUUAAGCGUAGAACUGCAUUUGAAACUGUUAUUCUAGAGUAGGGGAGCGGUAGGAGGAAUGCUUGGUGUAGGGGUAAAAUCCGUAGAGAUCAAGAGGAAUACUCAUUGCGAAGGCGACCUGCUAAAACAUGACUGACGCUGAUGCGCGAAAGCGUGGGGAGCAAACAGGAUUAGAUACCCCUGUAGUC
rnacentral:rRNA from 1 species